rnacentral:rRNA from 1 species
UACAGAGGUCUCAAGCGUUGUUCGGAUUCAUUGGGCGUAAAGGGUGCGUAGGCGGUGAGGUAAGUCUUGUGUGAAAUCUACAGGCUCAACUUGUAGUCUGCACGAGAAACUGCCGGGCUUGAGUGUGGGAGAGGUGAGUGGAAUUCCUGGUGUAGCGGUGAAAUGCGUAGAUAUCAGGAGGAACACCUGUGGCGAAAGCGGCUCACUGGACCAUAACUGACGCUGAUGCACGAAAGCUAGGGGAGCAAACAGG